GAACGCUGGCGGCGUGCCUAACACAUGCAAGUCGAACGGAGUAUAUUCGCUGCAGAGAUUUCGGUCGAAGCUUGAGUAUACUUAGUGGCGGACGGGUGAGUAACGCGUGGGCAACCUGCCUCAUACUGGGGGAUAGCAGUUGGAAACGACUGAUAAUACCGCAUAAGCGCACAGAGUCGCAUGACUCAGUGUGAAAAACUCCGGUGGUAUGAGAUGGGCCCGCGUCAGAUUAGCCAGUUGGCAGGGUAACGGCCUACCAAAGCGACGAUCUGUAGCCGGCCUGAGAGGGCGGACGGCCACAUUGGGACUGAGACACGGCCCAAACUCCUACGGGAGGCAGCAGUGGGGGAUAUUGCACAAUGGAGGAAACUCUGAUGCAGCGACGCCGCCGUGAGUGAAGAAGUAUUUCGGUAUGUAAAGCUCUAUCAGCAGGGAAGAAAGGCCCGCAAGGGAGAUGACGGUACCUGACUAAGAAGCCCCGGCUAACUACGUGCCAGCCGCAGC
rnacentral:rRNA from 1 species